UGGGGAAUCUUGGACAAUGGGCGCAAGCCUGAUCCAGCCAUGCCGCGUGAGUGAAGAAGGCCUUCGGGUUGUAAAGCUCUUUUACCAGGGACGAUAAUGACGGUACCUGGAGAAUAAGCCCCGGCAAACUUCGUGCCAGCAGCCGCGGUAAUACGAAGGGGGCUAGCGUUGUUCGGAAUUACUGGGCGUAAAGCGCACGUAGGCGGAUUGUUAAGUCAGAGGUGAAAUCCCGGAGCUCAACUUCGGAACUGCCUUUGAUACUGGCAAUCUAGAGUCCGGAAGAGGUUAGUGGAAUUCCCAGUGUAGAGGUGAAAUUCGUAGAUAUUGGGAAGAACACCAGUGGCGAAGGCGGCUAACUGGUCCGGUACUGACGCUGAGGUGCGAAAGCGUGGGGAGCAAACAGGAUUAGAUACCCAGGUAGUCCCUGAGCGGGCUGGCAAGGCGCAU
rnacentral:rRNA from 1 species